rnacentral:rRNA from 1 species
AGAGUUUGAUCAUGGCUCAGAACGAACGUUGGCGGCGUGGAUCAGGCAUGCAAGUCGAACGAAUGCCGUGGGGGUAACUCUGCGGCGGAAGUGGCGAAAGGGGCAGUAAGGCAUGGGUAACCUGCCCCGGACUUCGGAAUAGCCUUCCUAACGGAAGGGUAAUCCCGAAUGUCGUAGCGUGGGGGCAUCCUCGUGCUACGAAAGCUUCGGCGGUCCGGGAGGGGCUCAUGUGGUAUUAGCUAGUUGGUGAGGUAACGGCUCACCAAGGCCGAGAUGCCUAGCAGGUGUGAGAGCACGACCUGCGCCACUGGCACUGGGACACUGGCCAGACUCCUACGGGAGGCUGCAGUCGAGGAUCUUCGGCAAUGGGCGAAAGCCUGACCGAGCGACGCCGCGUGUGCGAUGAAGGCCUUCGGGUUGUAAAGCACUGUCGUGGGGGAGAAAGGGAAACUUGAUCGACCCCAGGAGGAAGCUCGGGCUAAGUUCGUGCCAGCAGCCGCGGUAAGACGAACCGAGCGAACGUUGUUCGGAAUCACUGGGCUUAAAGGGCGCGUAGGCGGGCGGUCAAGUCAGGGGUGAAAGCCUCCAGCUCAACUGGAGAAGUGCCUCUGAUACUGAUCGUCUCGAGGGGGAUAGGGGCGUGCGGAACUUCCGGUGGAGCGGUGAAAUGCGUAGAUAUCGGAAGGAACACCGGUGGCGAAAGCGGCGCGCUGGAUCCCUUCUGACGCUGAGGCGCGAAAGCCAGGGGAGCAAACGGGAUUAGAUACCCCGGUAGUCCUGGCCCUAAACGUUGGGUACUAGGUUGUGGACUUACAUGGGUUCACAGCCGAAGCAAAAGUGUUAAGUACCCCGCCUGGGGAGUAUGGUCGCAAGGCUGAAACUCAAAGGAAUUGACGG